rfam:Camelus ferus unplaced genomic scaffold scaffold348, whole genome shotgun sequence.
GAGGGUGUAGCUCAAGUGGUAGAGCGCAUGCUUAGCAUUCACAAAGUCCUGGGUUCCAUCCCCAGUACCUCCA